ensembl:lncRNA
GGGAUCAGUGAGUGAUAGUGUAGCAUUCUCAUUUUGUCUUUACUGGCUGUUUGGGUGGUGGUGGUUUUUUGUUGUUGUUGUUUUUUUUCGUAACAUUGGUCUUCCAAUGCAAGCAGUUGCUAGUAGCAUCAUCCUAAAAUAUAAUGACAGCAACGAAAGUUCCUGGUUUUCUUCCAAGUGUUUUUGAACCUUGAGCCAGACCACUGGCCUUCAGAAAUAUCCCCAGUCUGAUUUUGGAACCAGAAGAAAAGAGCAGGAAACUGCUGUCGGAAGCUGAAGUUGGACCUCAGUAUCAUAUAUUAAACAAUAAAGUGUUACGUGCGGAAGGAAGAGAAUUUAAGAUGUGAAUUAAGUUUGGGUUAUAAUAUAACUGACAACAAAACACCAGAGAAGAGACAUGAGCUGGGAUGAGAUGAAAUGAGACGAGACAUGAAAGAACGGGUAAAUUGAUGACUUAUCAGCCUACAGAUGGGAUGUGAAGAUAUGUGAGUGGAGAAUGAGAUCAUCACCGGGAAGUACACUAGGGGAAAAGAAGGGGUUUCACAGGAAAGGUCCCAGUAGUCUCUUAUGGAUAGUGGGAGGAUUGAUUUAAUCCACAGGAAAAUGAAUAUGAAAAAUGAUAUAAAGGUGGGCUGGCUUCCAAACCUCAGAGUGGCUUGAUUUUUUUCGCAAUGUACUUCAAAAAAAAAUGAAAUAAAAACACUGAGUAUGACCCUGAACCUCGAGCAGUAUGUGGGAUCUGUGCACCUUGAUGGUAUUCCCACCUAGCUAAAACUACAUAAACAUGCUUUCAAUUUUGGUAAUGAAAGGCAAUUUUCAGCAUUUUAAGGAAACUACUGCGUUGCUUAGAAUAAAGAGAGGAGGCAAAAUUAUCGCCUUCAAUCUAAACAAUGCAGUAGAUUUCUUAAGAUGUUAAAAUUUGCCUUCCAUUCUGAAGACUGAAAGCAUGCUUCCAUGUUUCCAAGUAACUGUGUCCUUUGUGUUAUGCUGAAGCCAAAUAAUUUCUUAUGGAUGAUAAGUGGUGGAAUUGAUUGCCAAGUCCUGUUGAAUGAAAUUUCAGUUGGCACAAUUAUAAUCCAUUUCAAGAUUCAGCAUCUUUAAAUUUCCACCUACAAGAUGAAAAUAAAUACUUGGCUGCUUGCAAAGUAUUAAGUGAUACAUACGGAUAUGUCAAGUUUCUGCAUUCCUUGAAUCGUGUCCACCCCACCUCUUUUCUAAUUUUAUUCUCAUACCUUGUUAGGAAUCUUUAGGAAGAUCUGUUCAG